rnacentral:rRNA from 1 species
CAGUCGCCGCGGUAAUACAGAGGGUGCGAGCGUUAAUCGGAAUUACUGGGCGUAAAGGGCGCGUAGGCGGUUAGGAAGGUGUGAUGUGAAAGCCCUGGGCUUAACCUAGGAAGUGCAUCGCAAACCAACUAGCUGGAGUAUAAGAGAGGGUGGCGGAAUUUCCGGUGUAGCGGUGAAAUGCGUAGAGAUCGGAAGGAACGUCAAUGGCGAAGGCAGCCACCUGGCUUAAUACUGAUGCUGAGGCGCGAAAGCGUGGGGAGCGAACAGGAUUAGAUACCCCGGUAGUCCCUGUCUCUUAUAC